rnacentral:rRNA from 1 species
AGAGUUUGAUCCUGGCUCAGGAUAAACGCUGGCGGCGUGCUUAACACAUGCAAGUCGAACGAUGAAACUUAGCUGAUUUCUUCGGAAUGAAAUUAAGUGAAUUAGUGGCGAACGGGUGAGUAACACGUGAGUAACCUGCCUUACACAAGGGGAUAGCCUUUGGAAACGAAGAAUAAUACCCUAUAAAGUCAAAAUAUCGCAUGAUAAAGUGACCAAAGAUUUAUCGGUGUAAGAUGGACUUGCGUCUGAUUAGCUAGUUGGUGAGAUAACAGCCCACCAAGGCGACGAUCAGUAGCCGGCUUGAGAGAGUGUACGGCCACAUUGGGACUGAGACACGGCCCAAACUCCUACGGGAGGCAGCAGUGGGGAAUUUUGCACAAUGGGGGAAACCCUGAUGCAGCGACGCCGCGUGAUUUAGAAGGCCUUCGGGUUGUAAAAAUCUUUUUUAUGGGAUGAAAAUGACAGUACCAUAAGAAUAAGGUCCGGCUAAAUACGUGCCAGCAGCCGCGGUAAUACGUAUGGACCGAGCGUUGUCCGGAAUCAUUGGGCGUAAAGGGUACGUAGGCGGCCUAGUAAGUUAGAAGUGAAAUAAUAUAGCUCAACUAUAUAAAGCUUUUAAAACUGUUAGGCUUGAGAGAUGAAAGGGAAAGUGGAAUUCCUAGUGUAGCGGUGAAAUGCGCAGAUAUUAGGAAGAAUACCGGUGGCGAAGGCGACUUUCUGGUCAUCAUCUGACGCUGAGGUACGAAAGCGUGGGUAGCAAACAGGAUUAGAUACCCUGGUAGUCCACGCU